CGCUACACCAUUGUACUGUACUGUGUGAUUGUAUCUCCCUGUGAGUCCACUGCUAGAUGAAGGCCUCCUGCUCAGUCCCAGUCAUCGGAGUUGUUUGAUCAUACUUCACCGUUCUGUUAAACUGGACUUGCACACACAAAGACAUCGAUACUACAAAAAGUGAGAGCGACGCUUGGUGAGGCCUCCGGCUCCGGGUGGAUGGAACCACAGAGUGCUGCAACGUCCUCCUGAAACCACCACCGCACACUUCCCACACUGCCGUGUUGACACGUUCAUAAAAAACAAUGAAACCACCACACUCAUGAAGCAAACCUCAUAAACCUCAAAGCUUAGUACAAUAUCAUGCAAACAUUUAAAUGAGUGCCUUACCAGUGAACACUGUAUAUUGUAAUGUUGUUUUUUUACAGUAUAUGCUCCUUCUCCAAGGUACAUCAAAAUCUGACUUCCCGUGGAAUUGGCAGAUGUUCAUGUGGGUGAUUGAAUCACAUGAUCGAGAUUUCUCAACGUUCCACGAUUGUGGAAGUUCCUGCUUGUGAAUUUGCGUUACAAGACCUCGGAGUAAAAAAAUCUGAUGGCCACAACCAAAAACAACUGCAAUUUAAAAUAGGGUUAAAAAUGUAAACUUAUGAGCACCAAUACCGUUUUAGUGGCAGUCACAUGCUAUGAAGUGGUAGUCAUGUGUUGUUACUAAUGUAAUGUAUUAUUUAACAACAAGCAGACUUACGCUUGUAGUUUAAAACUCGAGUGUACUUUACAUGGAACACAUGACCACUACUUAACUCUGGUUUGUGGGUAAUGUUUUCUGAUAGCUGAAUUUAUGCGUGACCAUUUCAUGAUUUUCUCAGCAUAUUGUGAGAACAAAACAACCCAUCUCGACAAAAUCUAUUACACAUUUAUAAUGCAAAUGACCCGAUACAUAUGUUGGCGAAUGUCCCUUUUGUAAAAAAAUUAUGGGGGGAAAAUGUGCAAUGUCUCCAUAACCACCAACGGGGAUAAUAAUAAUAAAAAAGAUGUGUUUCGGCAGUUUUGUGAAGAACUGCAUCCGCCUACAUGGCUUUUCAAUGUACAUGUGGUACAUGCGCAUGUACAGCCCUUUAUCAAUCCACUGCUGAAAGAGGGCCUCCCCACGCCAUGCGAAUUGUGGGGGUUAUUUGACCACAUACUGGUCAGUGCGGGUAAGUGUAAAC